rnacentral:rRNA from 3 species
GCGACCCCAGGUCAGGCGGGACUACCCGCUGAAUUUAAGCAUAUAAAUAAGCGGAGGAGAAGAAACUUACAAGGAUUCCCCUAGUAACGG